GAAAUCGAGCAGUUACAGCAGGAAGUGACAUCAGCAAACACAGAAAAACAAACAGACACCAACCAUGGAUCCAUCACACCCAGACGUCACCCAGCCCCUCUCAUCCACAGCAGUGCAGCAGAGGAUGACUUCAGUGUCUGGGUUUCACCCCUUCGUCCAACAGGGGUCUCCACUUCUCACUGACUGCUGUGCUGAGGAACUGCUGUUGUCCCUGGGGUGAGACUGACCUCCCAGGUGGCUCAAACAACCAUCUACACACAUCCUGAUCCUGGUGAUCAUUGGAUCAGAGCAUGGUUUCCUCCUGUGUUUUACUAUAUGGACUCUGUAUUCAGACGACAAAGACCUGAAUUGUGCCGCAGUCAGUUUGAACUAAAAAAGACUCUGGGAUGAAGAGAAGAAACAUCUUCAAGAAUCCCAGACAGUCCAGCUGACCUCUACUGAACUGCCUUAGAGACCAAGCCUGACUUUAGACUCAUUCUGAAGUUCGUGUGAAGGAAAUAAUGUUUACUUGAGGAAAUAACUCUGGACCUCCACACAGCAGUGACAGGAAUCAAACCCUCCACCACUAUAAUGUAAUAUCAGGUCCUGCAGCAUCACUGUCUCAUCAGCACAUCUGAAAAACCUGACAGAGCGCCACCUAGUCCCACUUCAGAACAUGCUUCCAGCAGAACCUCCAUCACUGAACCACUCACCAGCAUCUCCCUGUACCUGGGGUCAGAUCUCUUGUUUUGCAAAUCCUGCCUUAAAUCGUCGUCCAAAGAACAGUCUCU